CCUACGGGAGGCAGCAGUAGGGAAUUUUCGGCAAUGGGGGGAACCCUGACCGAGCAACGCCGCGUGAACGAAGAAGUUAUUCGUAAUGUAAAGUUCUUUUAACAGGGAAGAAAGAGAAAUUUGACGGUAUCUGAAGAAUACGCUUCGGCUAAUUACGUGCCAGCAGCCGCGGUAAUACGUAGGGAGCGAGGGUUAUCCGGAAUUAUUGGGCGAAAGGGGGGCGUAGAUGGCAUAGAAAGUCUUUUGUAAAAAUGCUGGGCUAAACCCAGUAGGGCAAAAGAUACUGCAAAGCUAGAGUAUGACAGAGGCAAGUGGAACUACAUGUGUAGCGGUAAAAUGCGUAAAUAUAAGGAAGAACACCAGUGGCGAAGGCGGCUUGCUGGGUCGAUACUGACAUUGAGGCACGAAAGCGUGGGGAGCAAACAGGAUUAGAUACCCCAGUAGUC
rnacentral:rRNA from 1 species